rnacentral:rRNA from 1 species
UAGGGAAUCUUCCGCAAUGGACGCAAGUCUGACGGAGCAACGCCGCGUGAGUGAAGAAGGAUUUCGGUUCGUAAAACUCUGUUGUUAGAGAAGAACAGCGCAUAGAGUAACUGUUAUGCGUGUGACGGUAUCUAACCAGAAAGCCACGGCUAACUACGUGCCAGCAGCCGCGGUAAUACGUAGGUGGCAAGCGUUGUCCGGAUUUAUUGGGCGUAAAGCGAGCGCAGGCGGUCAAUUAAGUCUGAUGUGAAAGCCCCCGGCUCAACCGGGGAGGGUCAUUGGAAACUGGUUGACUUGAGUGCAGAAGAGGAGAGUGGAAUUCCAUGUGUAGCGGUGAAAUGCGUAGAUAUAUGGAGGAACACCAGUGGCGAAGGCGACUCUCUGGUCUGUAACUGACGCUGAGGCUCGAAAGCGUGGGGAUCAAACAGG